ACCCCCUGGCAAGGGGCAAAGAGACACCUUCUGGACGGUGUUCUUCUAUCAGUCAGGGACAGAGCAAAUGGCAGACUUUUGUUCAUCCUAGCUUGAUGCCUAGCUUGAUGGGCAAAGCUGUUUUAUGCCUAGGACUCAUAA